UGUCACUCCUCCAAGAGUUUCAUCUGGUCAGUGAUUCAUGUCUCACUUUUAAUGUAAUCCAGGAAUGGAGGAGGCAGUUUCCCUAGGUUGUUAUCCAUCAGUGAGUGGGAAUUUGAAGAGGGAGGAGGUGGAAGGGCAGCUGGUCAGUCUCCACUUGUUUUUAAGGAUCCAUCACCCAGGCAGGGCCUUCCGGCUACCUCAGUAUUACCUCAGAGACACUGAAACCUCCCUUACGAAUUAAUAAAAAAGGGGUACAAGAAAGAAACAAGAAAUCUUGGAAUGACUGAGCCACUGCCAAACAGGGACAGAUCUUGCAAGCCCUGCCUCCCCUCCCAUCUCUCAGGACUCAGCUGAUUGAAGGAGGCCACCUGUUCCUAGGCACCGACUUUCCUUGUAAUCAAGAAAUAACAACCACAUAGAAGAGAAGAACCUCUUUGUUGGUUCUGGUGCAGUGUCCUGGAAUUUGUGGUGCAACCAAACAUGAGUGAACUUCAGCUGAAAUGAAUGCCAAGAACAGAGGAGGCAUGUUAAUGGCCAGCUUUCAUUUUUCUGUUGUUAUUACCAUCUGUAUGUCUAUUGAUAUUUGAGUAACUACUUCACGUUAUGCAGCUAUAUAAAGAGUUUUUUCUCCCUC